rnacentral:lncRNA from 10 species
GCUGAACCCAACCACAGCUCUCUGUAUCAGAAGCUUCCACAGGAAACAAGAGGACACAUUCAAAUUCUGUAAUUUGAGACGAGAUUAAUAAAAGGACUAUAUACAAAAAUGCAAGAAAGAUUUGGAAUAACACAAGGCAUAGUACAGUACCUCAUGGCUGAUAGCACUCACUACCAUGAGACUAGAAGUGGAGGGGAGAAGUGGCUCUUAGAACCUGGGAAGAAGGUGCCCUGCUAAGGCGGACAUUUGAAAAAGAGCUGAGACAUCACAGCACACAUUUAACCUACAUGGACAUUUUAGGGAAGGAGCAAAGGAACAAAAAUCCUAGCUGUAUUAUCCUCCCUCCUUCCCAAUCUCUACAGGUGCUCACCAUUGGCCAGCCCCACCAAAAGCCAAACUAUAAGGAGGCAUCCAGCCAAACAGCCUCUUCAGUCUUGGAACAGCUUGGAAAAUGAAUCUGGAAGGACAAAUAGGUGAUCUACAGCAUAAUCUCCAUUAUAGUGUACUUUCUCUUCAUCCGGUUGAUUUGGUUUGGAUCUGUGUCCCCACCCAAAUCUCAUGUUGAACUGUAAUCUCCAGUGUUGGAGGUGGGGCCUCGUGGGAGGUGUUUGGAUCAUGAAGGCAGAUUCCUUAUGAAUGAUUUGGGCCAUCCCUUUGGUGAUGAGUGAGCUCUUGCUCUGAGUUGACAGGAGAUCUGGUCAUUCAAAAGUGUGUGACAUGCUCCCUGCCUCCACCUGCUCUUGCUCAUGCUUUUGCCAUGUGACUUGCCUGCCCCUUGUUCGCCUUCUGCCAUGAUUGUAAGCUUCCAGAAGCCUCCCUGGAAGCUGAGUAGUUGCCAGCACCAUGCUUCCUGUAAAGUCUGA